UGGAUUACAUCCUAAACCUUCCUCAAUGGAGAGGCAGUGAUUCAUACUCACUGGAAUUGACACCCACCUAUGCCAGAAGAAAAGAAGUGUGAAAUUAUGGAUGUAUAAGAUGGACAAGUAGAACGCAACUCAGAUCCUGACUCACUUUUAGAACGAUCACCAACAAAGAGCCACUCAAUUAGCAGACUGUAAUAUGAGAGAUAAAUAAAACUUUUGGAGAGUGAAGCACUUGUUCCUGAAGUGAUGUCAAAAGAGAGUGACCAGCCGGAUAAUGUAUAAAGAAGAUAUAGUAUUUUAUAAGGCCAUUAUGGCUCUAGACACUGUCUUUCAUUUGUGCAGGUUCAAGCUCAGAGGCACCAACAAAACAUCCAUGCACAAACUUAUAAUGUAAGAUAUUGAUUUAUUAGCUUCUAAUGAAAUAUGUUUUUAUUAACUAAGAGAUUGAUACAUAAAACAAAUCUUGAUACUUUAAGCAAGAAAUUUCCUUGUAGUGAAUAGCUUUACUAGAAAUAAAUUUAUUAUUCAAGAUAGUGGUUUGUGAACAUAGGAUUGUAAGUGAGAAGAUGUCAAUUAAGUUAGUUGUCUCUAUUAAUUGACUGUGCUGGUGUUGCAGUAGUUUUUCAGAAUUAACAUAACUAAUUGAAAGCAAAAACAUCUCUCCAAACAUCUCUGAGAAAAUGAUACAUUACUGUCUAAUUUUCCACCUUCUUUUCUAUGUUUCCUCCAGUUUAUAUUAUUAUUUCAGUUAGGUACAAUACAACUGAUUGAUGUAGAACUUCUUUUGUACUGUUUAUAAUCUUCUCCUUGGAACAUAAACUGCUAUUGCUUUUAUCAGAAGAAGCCUUACUCCUACAAGUAACACACAAACCACACACCUAGGUAAUUCUUUUAUGUAAAAAGUUAAUCUGAUGUAUUGAAUGUUCUCUUUAAAUUUCAAUUCCAGACAUCUAUUUUCCUGAUAUAUUUUACCAAUUUUGGGGAGUGUGCUCUAUACUAAUUGUUUUUAAGUAUAAUGAUGAUCAGCAUAAGAGUUAUUAUUAAUAUCCGCUAGCUGUGAGAUUUGUCUUGGAAAAUAAUACUUCUCAUUUGUAGAUCAGUUUUUCCCAGAACACAUUAUGUUGCAUAUUAGAUAAGAAAACAGUGCCUCUGCAGCAAAUUACAAAAGUCAGAGCAAGAGAGCUAGGGGAGUUGAGAAUCAGUACCUCAGAAAGAAACUUUGCUAGAAUUGUACCUUAUUUGUUUGAAGACCUAUUUCUUAUGUUGGGGAUGGGGAUGAGGAUGGGAAGCAUAAAUAGACACCGCUUGACAUCAGUGUCUGUAAUCUCAAAACUGAAAAACUAAAGUAUCAGUGAAAAAAUUUCUUCAGUUAUUCAUGGUGUUAGAGUAUUUGAAAAGCAAUAGAAAUAAAAAUGUUAAGGUAUUGGUUUUAGAUUUGUUGGGAGGUGAUUCUUCCUGAAUAGAGAGGCAUUGAUAUCCUUUGUUCUGAACCAUCUUUUCGAGAAUAUUUGUGUAGUACUUACUAUACUUUUAUUUAAACAUUCUCUCCACUAUGAUAAUAAAGAUAAUGUCUCCCUCAAGAGCAAAGGUUGAAAACCAAAGGAGAAAAAAAGAAAUGUUUAUUAUGUAUCCUUAAGGUUCUGUUUUUUAUUUUUGUGUUUAUUGUUAUCAGGUUUCCAUGUAACAGAGUAUUUUCGAGUGUGAGGCUUGACAAUGGCUCCAUGGAUUUAAUGUAUGCAUUCUCCUCUGCCUGGCUAUCACACACUAGAGAGAGGGAACACAAUGAUAUGCUCCCUCAGUUUUAUAAGUUUCUAAGCAUUGCCACAGCAUAAUUAUAAAGUAUAUGCUGAUACUCUUUAGGGGAACCAUGGUGGUGUCAUGACCAUGUGAACUCCCCAUGCAGGUAUUCAGUUCCCCUUCUUUCAACUCCCAGCUUUAACUUACCCUCCUGGCUUUAGAAAGCAGAACUUAAAAACUGAUGAGUAGGUAAUGCAAAAUUACAAUCAUUACAUUUUAGAUUUGAAAGACAUCAUGGAGAGCUUCUAAUCUUAUCACUCCAUUUUAUAAAGAGGGAGUAAAUUGAUCAGAAUUGCUAAGAAGAUGCUAGUCAGUUGUGAAAUCUCUUCUACCCAGAAUAGGACAGGAGUCUAUGAUUUACUCUACUUUCUUCCUAUGUAAAAUAACUUUACCCAGAUCAUCUACUUUCGUACUAUAAUAUAGACUCCCCAAAGGCAAUAAUGACGUUUUGUUCAACAUCUACCAAUUCCACAGCUCCCUGGCAUGUAACUGAAUUCAUAGCUAAUACAUUUGAUUUUACCUACUUGAGCAAAAUCUCCAGGGAAUAAUGGUGAGUACCUGAGUAAUGGAGGUAAAUGUCAUGAGUAAAAGUAUAGAUUCACUAGAUUCAAAUACUACAUUAAUGUCUACUGUGUGACAUUAAGUAAAUUAUUUAAAUUCUCUAAAUCUUCAGUUUUAUUAUUUUUAACUUUGAAAUAGUAAUAGCUAAAAAGUAGAUAUGACCAACAUGAAAUAAUUAGGGUAAAAUGCUGACUUACUACCAAGUAUGGAGCAUAGUAAAUGCUCAGUGAAUUAUAGUUAUAUUUUUCCAUAAAAGGUACAAUAACUUACGAAGUUCUUAAAAGGCAUUAUAUUUUAAAUCUACUUGAACAUCUUCUUCCUGGAUUACUGAGCAACCAGACAUAAUUCUUUUUUCCUUUUUUGAGUCAGCCUCUUCCGUUUAGUUCUUCCAAAAACAUCUUCCACUCAAGGCUACCUAAAAUAAACCCUUCUGCUGGAUCUACUGUUAGGUUACUCUUCCCAUCUCAGUUGCUGUGUUAUAUUUUUAUACUUGAGGGAUUAUAUUUCCUGCAGUUGAGUCUAAUUUACACCCUUAGGUUAGAUGAAUAGUUUGUAAUUUGAAGUUUGGAACUGAUAAGAUGGAAGCACAACUAAUAUACAAUACAAAGUAAAACCAUUUAAAUCAUCACAUGCCUCAUACAAGUAUCUAUUGACUACUUAUUAUACACCAGGCAUCUUUCUAACAGUACAGUAAUUAAUAAGUCUCCAAUAAUGGUUUAUGGUAUUUAACUGCUUGAAAUUAUUAACAUUUAAAGUAAUAAUCAUAGCUAACAUUUAUUAGAUAUUUAUUAGGUGCCAAGCUUUUUCCAAGUGUUUUAUAAACUGUUAAUUCAUUUACUCCUUGCAAAAAACCCUUGAGAUAAAUAUUAUUAUCUCCUAUAAACAAAAGUAAAAGAAGCAAAAUGUGUCUAAGUAAUUUAUUGCACGUCAAACAGUUAGGAAAUGGUAAAACUGGGCCAAAAAACUGAAAUAGUCUGGCUCCAAAGCCCUUGCUAUUAAUCACUAUGUAGAAAGACAAUAGAGGCAUACAGGCAGUAAAAUGCAAUGAAAAAGAAAACUCAAAGCCACAAGAGAUAUUGUAUUAAGGUUAGGUUUUUAUUUGAAGAAUUUUGAUCUAGGUUAGCUUAUAAUAUAGUACUUUCUCAAUUAUAUCAGCUAAUUUUUUAUGUGUCAAAAUGCUCUACAGAGACCCCAAUGGGGAUGGGGUGAUGUUAGUUUUACCAUCAUCAUCACUUACUAUUAACUUUCUGGCUGUUAAGUUUCUCAGCUAAAAUAAGGUGCUCACUUGUCUUGUAGAUACCAUGCACUAUAUAUUUUCUAAGAAAUUCCAAGGUUUUAGUAAUUGUGCUUCAUGAACAUAUUAUGUUUUAUGUGUGUGAGUGUGCAUGUGUGUGUAUUCAGUGAAGUUGGAGACUAUGUUUUAAUUUCUGUGUUUUACAUGCUUCCCUAAUUCUUUCUACCUGACAGAUCCAUAAUUAGUAUGUUUUUAAAUGCCACCUGAAUAAAUCUCCCAACUUGAUAAUAAUCCUGUUGGUUAACAGACUAAAAGAAGGAAUUUAAACUCUUUUAGGGUGUGACCUAAGCCCAUUACUCAUAAGUUGUUCGAAAUCUUUUCUAUUUGAUUCUGUGAUGCUGUGAUUAUUCAGAAUGGUUAACUAAUCUUGGAAAUUACUGAACCUGAUGAUAACUUUAAUUUCAAGACUUUGAAGUACUCUCCUUGAUGCCUCACCGCUUUUAUGGUUGUCUUCAAAGUUCACACUGUCUCAUUUGCAGAAAUUUCUAUGUAGAUCUAUUGCAAAUUGUAUAUAAUGUUUCUUGUGCUCAUCAUAUCCUCAUCAACAUAUUUUGAGGUUAUUAAUAGCAUGAUAAUUUUGAAGUGUUAUGUAAAAGAAGAAGCCUUUUAUGUAAAGGAGAUCACAUUAAUCCAAACUGAAGUAUAUGCAGUAUAGGCUUGAGGGAAAAGAAAUUUGAAUGCAAAUCAAAUUGGAUUUUUUUCUGGAAAUGUUCUGUUUAAGUCUGUGAGGAAGUCACUGCAGCUGUGAUUAAAACUUAUUUUCUUAUAUUUGAUCAGAAAUAAAAGUCCCUCUCCUUUUCAAAAGGGGUUUGUUAUGAAGGAACUUUACAACACUUCCAAUCCCAUUUAGUUAUUCAUUCAAGAGCCAUUGCCUUUCACCAGGGCAAUAUUAGCAGAAUUGGAAGUGUAACAAAUACAUAAAAUAAUCAGUGGGUCGAAUGAGAGGGAGAUCACAGAGACAAUGAGGGAAGACAGCUCUUUAUACAAGAUUUCUAGUAAAGAAAAGGAGGAUCCAAAUCAUGAGCUGAAGAAUCCCUGGCAGCCUCAAUGGGUGAAGAGAGGUUUUAAUGAAGCAUCAAAGCAAGGGAUGGGGCAUCUUUUGCCUUUUGAGGAAAAGGGCAUUUAAUAUUCAUGUGUUUCUCAGUGAGCAGGUCUAUGCAAACCUACCUCCAAAGUCAGAGGAAGCUGAGAGGCCUAAGAAAGAGGCUGACAAAUCCCAUUUUUUAGAAUCAAACAUUUCGCAGGGAUUUAGGAACAGAAGCCAUGUCUGUGUCUCAAGCAGUGUUGAGAUAAGAUACUGGAUCCCCAUGCCAUUGUCCCUCAGACCUAGGGCUUAUAUAACAUAGGGAAGUGGUGACUCAGAAGGCAUGUGUAGGACAACUGCAGUACAAUAAUAUCAAGGUUAAUUUGACCUAAGGGCAGGAUUUAUGGUAAGCACCUGCUCUUACAUAAGAAACAAUAGAUGAACUGAAAAUCGUAGCAGCUUCCCAGAGCAGGAAUUAAUCAGAAGUCAACAUGUUGAAUUAGCAUCCACAGUGGAGCUGCCUUGGCCUGCACAUCAUCUUUGCAAGAGAGCUAUUCUUGUAUUGACUUCAUGAUCUCUUGUUUUGCCUUCAAGCUUCCUUAAAAUCCAUGGUUUUUGUCAUUUAAAAAAACAAGCAGGGUAAGGAGUUAUGGAGGAAAGGUGGAGAAAUGUUAUUUUAGAUAGCAGUCAGAAAAAGCUUGUGCGAGGGGAGAUACUUCAGCAGUAAUCAUAAUGAAAUGAGGGAACAAGACAUGCAGAUGACUAAUAAGAGCACUCCACCUCUGGGCACAGUAGCUCAUGCCUGUAAUACCAGCACUUUGGGAGGGCGAGGUGGGCCAAUCACCUGAGGUCAGGAGUUCGAGGCCAGCCCUACCAACAUGCUGAAACCCUGUCUCUACUAAAAAUACAAAAUUUAGCUGAGCAUGGUGGCACAUGCCUGUAAUCCCAACGUCUCGAGAGGCUGAGGCCAGAUAAUCUCUUGAACCUGAGAGACAGAGGUUGCAGUGAGACAAGAUCAUGGCACUGCACUCCAGCCUGGGCAGCACAGUGAGACUUCAUCUCAAAAAAAUAAUAAUAAAGAUAAAUAAAAAUAAAAAUAAAAUAAGAGCACUCCAGAUUAAUUCCAGCAAAGGCAAUGGAAUUAAUGUCAGAAAGUUUAUGGGAAGUUUGAAAAGCAGUAAAAAAGUUAAUAAAAUUCAUUAUGGUCAAUGAAGUAGACAAUGGUAAAAUGAUGCCAUAAAGAACACUACGGACAAGAUAACAGGGAAAUUUAACACCAUGUUGAGAACUUUGGAUUUCAUCUGUGUAGGAUGGGAUGCCAUCUGAGUGCACUGAAAGGGGAUGUUUCAUGAUAAGAAAUACAUUUUAAAAGGAUCAUUCUAGCCACUGGACAUUGAACAGAUUUUUAGUAGGUAUUGAAUAAUUGAGGACCUGAAAGACCCUGGUAAGGAGUUUGACAUUUAAUAUAAAUGUGACUGAAAGCCAUUUGAGUGAUAUAAAUAAAGUAUGAAAUGAUCAAGUGUAUGACUUUCAGGGAUGUUUUAGUUGCUGUAUAGAUAAUAAUUUUUAGGAGAACCAGGAAGAUAAUUAGGAGACCAUUUUAGUGGUCCAAGUAAAACAAAGUAGUGAUUUGGACUAAACAGUUGGUAGGAAAUGGUAAAAAGUAGUUGGUUUUGGAUAUUGUAAAGGUUCAGAUAAAGGAACUUGAUGUUAGAUUGAAUAUGUGAUUUAUAAGAAAUGGGAGAUGGCCGGGCACGGUGGCUCAUGCCUGUAAUCCCA
rnacentral:lncRNA from 1 species